GCCGCUGUAGCUCAGCUGGUAGAGCGGCGCUUUCGUAAAGCGUAGGUCACCGGUUCAAUCCCGGUCAGCGGCUCCA
rnacentral:tRNA from 1 species